rnacentral:rRNA from 1 species
AACGAACGCUGGCGGCGUGCCUAACACAUGCAAGUCGAACGGGAAAACCCGCAAGGGUGAGUACAGUGGCGCACGGGUGCGUAACACGUGGGUAAUCUGCCCAGAAGCCCGGAAUAACUCCCCGAAAGGGGUGCUAAUGCCGGAUGAGACCACGGGGACUUCGGUUCCUGGGGGAAAAGGUGGCCUCUGUAUACAAGCUAUCACUUCUGGAUGAGCCCGCGGCCCAUCAGCUAGUUGGCGGGGUAAUGGCCCACCAAGGCUACGACGGGUAGCUGGUCUGAGAGGACGAUCAGCAACACUGGAACUGAGACACGGUCCAGACUCCUACGGGAGGCAGCAGUGGGGAAUCUUGCGCAAUGGGCGAAAGCCUGACGCAGCAACGCCGCGUGUGUGAUGAAGGUCUUCGGAUCGUAAAGCACUGUCGGGAGGGACGAAUAAGGGCCGGGUGAACAAUCCGGUUCGACGACGGUACCUCCAGAGGAAGCACCGGCUAACUCCGUGCCAGCCGCCGCGGUAAGAC